rnacentral:tRNA from 1 species
UUGAAGCUGCAAAAGUAGAUGAAAAGAUCUUGUAAGUA